rnacentral:rRNA from 1 species
UGGUAGUNCACGCCCUAAACGAUGUCUACUAGUUGUCGGGGAUUAAUUUCCUUGGUAACGCAGCUAACGCGUGAAGUAGACCGCCUGGGGAGUACGGUCGCAAGAUUAAAACUCAAAGGAAUUGACGGGGACCCGCACAAGCGGUGGAUGAUGUGGAUUAAUUCGAUGCAACGCGAAAAACCUUACCUACGCUUGACAUGUCCGGAACCCUGAAGAGAUUUGGGGGUGCUCGAAAGAGAGCCGGAACACAGGUGCUGCAUGGCUGUCGUCAGCUCGUGUCGUGAGAUGNNNNNNNNNNNNNNGCAACGAGCGCAACCCUUAUCAUUAGUUGCUACGCAAGGGCACUCUAAUGAGACUGCCGGUGACAAACCGGAGGAAGGUGGGGAUGACGUCAAGUCCUCAUGGCCCUUAUGUGUAGGGCUUCACACGUCAUACAAUGGUCGGUACAGAGGGUUGCGAAGCCGCGAGGUGGAGCCAAUCCCAAAAAACCGAUCGUAGUCCGGAUUGCAGUCUGCAACUCGACUGCAUGAAGUCGGAAUCGCUAGUAAUCGCGGAUCAGCAUGCCGCGGUGAAUACGUUCCCGGGUCU